GCAACGCCGCGUGAGGGAUGACGGCCUUCGGGUUGUAAACCUCUUUCAGCUCCGACGAAGUUGCUCCUUUUUGGGGGUGGUGACGGUAGGGGCAGAAGAAGGACCGGCCAACUACGUGCCAGCAGCCGCGGUAAUACGUAGGGUCCGAGCGUUGUCCGGAAUUAUUGGGCGUAAAGGGCUCGUAGGCGGUUUGUCGCGUCGGGAGUGAAAACACCGGGCUUAACUCGGUGCUUGCUUUCGAUACGGGCAGACUAGAGGUAUGCAGGGGAGAACGGAAUUCCUGGUGUAGCGGUGAAAUGCGCAGAUAUCAGGAGGAACACCGGUGGCGAAGGCGGUUCUCUGGGCAUUACCUGACGCUGAGGAGCGAAAGUGUGGGGAGCGAACAGGAUUAGAUACCCUGGUAGUCCACACCGUAAACGUUGGGCGCUAGGUGUGGGAUCCAUUCCACGGGUUCCGUGCCGUAGCUAACGCAUUAAGCGCCCCGCCUGGGGAGUACGGCCGCAAGGCUAAAACUCAAAGG
rnacentral:rRNA from 1 species